GCAAGUCUCUUUCCAGAAAUGCAAACCAAACAAAGAAAAGUGAUUACAUCACAUUUAGUUUAUUGUCUAUGCUCAUCAUCAAAGUCAGCAAUUGAUGUCAACAAAAUGUAAACAGUUUUUCUCACAUGAUUGUUCAGAUUUUAUAAGUGAAACUAUCAUUAAAAACCUAGCAUGUCAAGACACUGACAUAUAUAUACACAAAAGAAUAAAGCAUGAUUAAUUUACAGCAGACAUUUAUGUUACUAGAUUACUUUUUGUUUUUUAAAUAGAUAAACACUGCAUACACCUGAACUAUAUCCGUCCAUAAAUAACAGUUUUCAUGCAAACCUAACCAUAUAAUUUUACUGAGUAAACUUAAUAAUUUCCUUAGAAUAUUUUAACACUUAUACCAAUGGCAACUAUAAUUAUUUAAACAAAAAACCACUAGCUUAUCAUUCUACCUUUAUUCCACAUAAGGAGACACCAUAACCUUGUAUUCUAGUAAACUAUGCUAAUCAACUACCUAAGCAAUGUUUCAAAAAGUUGGAAGCCACUUAAUUGACUAUAUUGUCAAUAAGUCACUUUUCAAUUUGAAUUAAAAGCCUUUUAUUUUCACUUUUUAAUUUAAAAUGAUAUUAUCAGCUGAGAUAUCAGAGAGAGACAGAUCAAACGUGUAUUUAGUGUUUUGAAAAUGUCUGUCCACAAUGCACCAAUGAAUGAUCUAUACAUUAAAAUGUGAAUUUAAAAAAAAAAAGCAAACAAUUAUUAAAGACUUAUUCAAAGCAUACUUGAUAAAUAAAAGUACACCAAGGUCACAGUUAUCAGUUUUCAAUAAAUAGUCAUCUGAUAUUUAAAAAUAACAGAGUUUGUUUACAUUUAGCAACACAGUUCAGGGCAAUCACUUUCAUACAAGAAUCACAUUUGUUAACCCUUCCACUUUUACCUACAGAAUCAGUAAUGCAUAAGGUCACAAUUUAAAUGGUGAGCCAAACCAACAAAAUUUUAACCAUUACUAGUGAACCAUCCACAACACACAAGAUCACUAAUCAAUGGUGAUCCUAACUUAUAACUUUCAAAAUAUGCAUUUUGUAUACAGACUAAUUUAUCAAGGAACAAACUUUUGAGCAUGGGAAUAUUAGUCAUGUUAAACUAGGUGAAUUAUCUGCUAAAACAUAAACACUUAACAAGGUGGACAUGUCUUUUUUUUAAAAAAAGGACUUUAUGUAAUACCAAUAUUAAGAUUUAUGUUAACAAAACAAAGCUUAACAUCAACCAUCAAUUAAAACAGAUGUCUGCACACAGAAUGCUGUUCUGAUUAUUACACAUUUUGUGCAAGGGGAAAUCCCUUUCCAUCAGAAAUUUAGAUUUUCAUAAUUAAACUGUCAGAAAUAAUUAAACUUUGAAAUGUUCCUGUCGAUAUUUACUUCAAUUCACCAGCUAAAA